UACGAAGGGGGCUAGCGUUGUUCGGAAUCACUGGGCGUAAAGGGCGCGUAGGCGGCCGAUCAAGUCGGGGGUGAAAGCCUGUGGCUCAACCACAGAAUUGCCUUCGAUACUGUUUGGCUUGAGACCGGAAGAGGUAAGUGGAGCUGCGAGUGUAGAGGUGAAAUUCGUAGAUAUUAGGAAGAACACCAGUGGCGAAGGCGGCUCACUGGCCCGGUACUGACGCUGAGGCGCGAAAGCGUGGGGAGCAAACAGG
rnacentral:rRNA from 1 species